UACGAAGGGGGCUAGCGUUGUUCGGAAUGACUGGGCGUAAAGCGCACGUAGGCGGAUCGUCAAGUUGGGUGUGAAAUCCCGAGGCUCAACCUCGGAACUGCAUUCAAAACUGUCGAUCUGGAGGCCAGGAGGGGUCAGUGUAAUACCGAGUGUAGAGGUGAAAUUCGCAGAUAUUCGGUGGAACACCAGUGGCUAAGGCGACUGACUGGACUGGUACUGACGCUGAGUUGCGAAAGUGUGGGGAGCAAACAGG
rnacentral:rRNA from 1 species